GUCGGACUCUGACCCAGGUAUAAAUAGUGCUACACACCCAUUGCCCAAGGGACGCUCACUAUAGGCAAAUUACUCCCGGUUGUUACGACCUCCCGUGAACUCUACUCACCGGAAAACUAACUUGACGGUCGGAGCGCCCUCGGGGACCACCCUCGGGCCCCCUCUGUUAGCUCUUCCUUUCUGUUUUGCAGACUUGGAGUCAGCUCUGCCAUCAGCGACCCGAGCUGGUCAGGUCAGCUCUGCUAGGGGAAGUUCCGUGCUUCUUCAGUUGGCGCCGUCUGUGGGAAACGCAAGGUAAUUAUUGUUGUGUUGAUGGCAAGAACACGAUCCAAGCGAACCAUUGAGAGCACCGGCCCGAGAGCCGGCGAGGGAUCCUGGCGAGCGGAGACCGAGGCGGCCCGGGGCGCGGGGGGCUCGGAGAGCGGAGAGGACGGAAAAACCCCCCAUGAGGUCCGCAAACGGCUUGAAAUUGCGAAAUUUGAGAGUGCGAUGCUCGACCCCAAGAGAUCGGCACGCCUGUUAAAGACGGGGGGCUUGACGCUCAACCCAAGAGAUCGGCAUGACCGUCUUGAAGGUGUGAUGCUCGACCCCAAGAGGUCGGCACGCCGUGACUUACUUUGAGGCAGCUUGUCAAAACCAGGGAGCACGCUGGCUCGGCCCAGGAGGUCGGCACGAUUGCCCUGAGAAUGUAAUGCUCGACCCAGGAGGUCGGCAUGACUGCCUGGAAAAUGUGAUGCUCGACCCCAAGAGGUCGGCACGUCUGCUAAAUUCAUGGAGUUCAACGCUCGACCCAGGAGGUCGGCAUAACUGCCUGGAAAAUGUGAUGCUCGACCCCAAGAGGUCGGCACGUCUGCUAAAUUCAUGGAGUUCAACGCUCGACCCAGGAGGUCGGCAUAACUGCCUUGAAAAUGUGAUGCUCGACCCCAAGAGGUUGGCAUAUCCGCUAAAAUCAGAGUUCGACGCUCGACCCGGGAGGUCGGCGUGACCGCCUUCAAAGCAUGAUGCUCGGCCCAAGAGGUCGGCACGAUUGCCCUGAGAAUGUAAUGCUCGACCCAAGAGGUCGGCAUAACUGCCUUGGAAAUGUGAUGCUCGACCCCAAGAGAUUGGCAUAUCCGCUAAAAUCAGAGUUCGACGCUCGACCCGGGAGGUCGGCGUGAUUGCAUUCAAAGUAUGAUGCUCGGUCACAAGAGGUCGGCACGGCUUGAAAUUUUGAAGUCGGAAAGUGCGAUGUUCGGCCCCAAGAGGUCGGCACGUUGUGCCUUAACUUGAAUGGGUUUGUUUGACCCAAGAGGUCGGCAAGGCUCAAAACUUUAAAAAGUCGGGGGCUUAAACCAUGUCAGUGGCAAUUUGAUGCUCGGUCCCAUGAGGUCGGCACGCAUUGAUCAAGUUUGUCGAAACUUGGGAGUUUGACGCUCGACCCGGGAGAUCGGCGCGGUUUUCUCAGUGACAGUACUGUACCAGAGGUGACCGGGGCAGAGCAGUGCGCGACGCUGGUCUCCCACGUGACAGAGUAUAGAUUAGGUCUGCCUGGAAGCCUUACCUAAUCUAGGGGGCUAGUGCAGAGGCCCCGUACUGGGCCUAGACACGUGGCAACCCAGGUAAAGCCGAGCUGGGCUCCGGCCCCAGGCUCCUGGCGACCGCCCUGGGCCGCACCCCCGCUAGGGCUCCAGGGGGAUCAGGAGACCGUCCCGCAGAGGUCGGAGGAGAUCCCGCUCGGCGCGGGAUUGAGAUUAUAUCAGGAAGGUCUCGGAACGUACGGAGGUCGGACUCUGACCCAGGUAUAAAUAGUGCUACACACCCAUUGCCCAAGGGACGCUCACUAUAGGCAAAUUACUCCCGGUUGUUACGACCUCCCGUGAACUCUACUCACCGGAAAACUAACUUGACCGUCGGAGCGCCCUCGGGGACCACCCUCGGGCCCCCUCUGUUAGCUCUUCCUUUCUGUUUUGCAGGCUUGGAGUCAGCUCUGCCAUCAGCGACCCGAGCUGGUCAGGUCAGCUCUGCUAGGGGAAGUUCCGUGCUUCUUCA
rnacentral:lncRNA from 1 species